GAGUUUUUAUUCUCAUACAACCUUAUUCCCAAAAAAUUACAAUAGCUCCCGCGGUUCCCGUUCCCGUGGUGAUUGGUCGUACAAGCUUGCUCACCUAUGGAGAUUGACGAGGACCACAAACAAAAGUAGCAACAACAACAACAGCUGAGAUCGAGGUCGAAAAACUUUUUCUAGCGACACAUCCUUCUGUUGACUGAUAUAUAAUCAUUCAUUCUACUCGAACGGAUCAAAGCUAGGGGAAGCAGGGGGACACAGAGGACUGCUAUCAAUAAACUUGGUGAAUGUGAAGCAUUUCAAGGCAGUCCAAGUUAAGCGGAGUGGGCGGCGUAUUGUGGAACCCACUUAGGGCAUAAAAAGGAAUACGCAGUUAACAUUGUCAAAUAACCGGAAUUUUCAGUAAUUAUUUGACUGUUUUAUGUGUCUGUGAAUAUGAAAUUUUGAAUCAGUUUAUUGAGCAAAAAGUGUGUAAUAGUUAAAUACGUUUUUUACCUUAUAAUAAAAUUAUUUUGUGAAUAA